rnacentral:rRNA from 1 species
CUAACAAGGGAUUCCCCCAGUAACGGCGAGUGAACAGGGAUUAGCCCAGCACCGAAGCCUGUGGCCAUUUGGUUACUAGGCAAUGUGGUGUUUAGGUCGUUCCGCAGAGGCACUGCUCCACUCCAAGUCCAGCAAUGAGUACGGUAGUACAGACUUGGCCCAUAGAGGGUGAAAGGCCCGUGGGGGUGGAGAUUCAGGCAGGCCAGUGUCUCUCUGGAUAGACCUUGGAGUCGGGUUGUUUGUGAAUGCAGCCCAAAGCGGGUGGUAAACUCCAUCCAAGGCUAAAUACUAGCACGAGUCCGAUAGCGAACAAGUACCGUGAGGGAAAGUUGAAAAGUACUUUGAAGAGAGAGUAAACAGUGCGUGAAACCGCUCAGAGGUAAACGGGUGGAGUUGAACUGCAAGCCUUGAGAAUUCAGCUGGUGAGUGUGGUUUGAGCUUGGUCAAAUUGGUUGUACUCUGGGGUCUGUGUAUUUACAGUUCUCUGCCCUCGGGUGGGGAUGCGCGAAUGGCUUAUCAAGUCUUGUGCGCUCCAGUUGUAUUCGGACCUGCUUGCCAGUGCACUUUCUCUUGGUGUUCACCACGACCGGCACUGCUGUCUGGCUGUUGUGGUUAAACCGGUCUUGCAUUGUCCUUGUGGCUUUGUUUGGUCGGGACGGCAGGUAGCUCGUUGGCUAGUCUGGGGUAACCUGGGCAAUUGGUCUUCGGGUGUAAUCAGCUGACCAUGAUGGUUCUGUGCGGUGUGUCGGAGACGGCGGCUUGUUGUGUGAGCGCGCGUGCCUUGUCUUCUGACUUGUUUGGGUCUGAUGGCUUUGUUGCUUGUUCUGCAAGCCUGGCUUUGGCCUGAGCAUGUUUGGUUGGCGGUGGCGUGUGUGACACUAAUACAGGGCCAAUAGUCUGUGGUGUAGUGGUAGAC